UUCACAACUCACACAGCUGAGGGUUCCACCCCGCCAGUAUUUUCAGUCUUCCCACCCACGCCGACCUGCGCCAGCAGCAGCAGUCCUAGGCAUCUAGCACAAAGCCUCCUGGAUGGAUACCCACUUCAAGAUGACUAUUGCGUUUGGAGCAGAACCUCUCUGGCUGCUGAUACUGUUGCAGAGCUCAGUUUGCGACUACCUCCACCCUGGUUGGGCCCUGUAGAGGAAAGGCCGCCUCCAGACACCCUGAGGCGCAGCUUAAGUGCACAGCAGGAGACCUCGGCAGCGCGUGAGAGAUCGCAUGGAGGAGGGGCAGCAGGUGUGGACCCCAGGAAACCCAACCCCAGAGUGCACGGUUGGUCAGGAUGGAAAAUCCCACCUAAGGGCCACUGAACACACCAUGGAAACCUUCCACCCAGGACCUGUCACUCCAGGAGGCCCAGGAUCAAGGUAGGACCAGUACACACCAGUCUCUGGCCAAUCACUGACUCCCGGAAUCUACACACGGCUCUGCUGGUUCCUCUUUUCUCCUUCACGGCAAGGGAUUUGCCCUCUGUGAUGCUGAUUCCCAAACACAGCUGCUGAGCAGCCCCAACCAGAUUGCAAAACACACACACACACACACACACACACACACACACACACACACACUGGCUUGAAUUCUCGGUCUGGCUUAAUUUAUAACCUGAGUGGUCAGGCAUCAAUGAACAGCAACACGGGGCACGUGAAUGGAGGCUGAGGUGGCGGAUAGAGGGUGCUGACCAUUUCGACAACAGUUGUGGCCCCGGGCCGUCCUGCACUGUCAGAAGCUAUGUACCGCUCAAGCUGUUAGUGUGAUGGGGCUGCGGGUAGGAUAAACUCAGGGCACACAGGUCUGGCUCCAAAGAAGUAAGGGGAUGGGAGGCAGGUGUAACGGACUGGUUGAGCAGUGUUCCUGACCUUUCCAACUCUAGAUGGACGACAGGACCCCGGACUACCAAGCGUGGCCCCCAUGAAGAAGGCUGGACACUGAGCAGGCACAGCCAGAUGGCUCGAAGGAAGGAGAAGUUGAAAGGCUUCUUCCUCUCCUAGCCUGGCCUUCUCUGGCCCAAAAGAGCUGGAACCUCAGGAGCAGCCUAACCACUGAUCACUACCCCCUCCCCAAGUGUUCCUCCCCCAAGGAAGGAACAGUGGUUUACCUAAUCUAAGGAGCCUUCCAGCAAUUCUUUCAUGAGAAAGCCAAUUGCCAGAAGGCGUGCAUGUUGCAUGUGUAUGUGAGUGUGUGUGUGUGUGUUCUAAGUAGCGGCUGGACAGAAUAAGCCGAACCACUCCCCGAAUUCUUUCUCCGGGUGGAAUCCUUGAUAGAGACUUUGGGAGCUGCUGCUACAGCAGCUCUUGCUUGGCAGUGCUUAUAGCCCCUACAGAUCUGAGCAUUGGAGCUUGGAGUUCAAAAAUCCUGGCCACAGCCAGGCAAGCCCACUCCCUUCCCCUGCAGGAUCCAAGUACAGAAGGAAUGGCUUGGAAGGGCUUGGACAGGCCAGUUCUUGGUCAGCUAUUGUGCACUCAGGCGAGUACUUAUACCAGCAGCACAAACAUGGGGUGGAGGGUGAGCAAGGGUUCAAAGCCUUUUCCCUGUCCUCAAGGAGAACUGGGCUCCAUCUGUGGGACAGAAACCCUACCAGAAGGAGGAGGUAACAGACUGUAGAGGUCUCCAAUCUCCAGCCUCAGGUGAGUUAUCUGGUUUCUCCUGGCCCACCCUGAGAAUACCUAAGGGAGCCGUUUGGAGAGUGGGCAGGAUUCUUUCUGGGGCUGAAGGAGGGACCCUGUCAAGGGCAGAGACUGAGGCUCGCUGUGAGUUCUGGGAAGGCGGAUGAUACAAGAUUCAAACCAUCCCACUGGACCACGGAGUUGGUAGCUGAGAGCAAGCCUAGGAAAGGAAACAACCAGAGGGGAGGGGGGGAGGGAGUAAGGGGGAAUUUUGGAAAGGGUGAGAAGGCGUCACCCCAUGGGCUAGCUCCAAGACAGAGGGAGCGGUAGCUCUGCCCUGCCCCUCACCCCUCCCCAACUUUCCUCCAACUCAGCUCCUGCCUGUCUGGACUGUAAGAGAGGUGAGGGAGGUGCUGGCUGAUGGGCCUGGCUGAAUUCCCUCUGCAUUCACCAGCCCUGAUGUCAACAAGCGAGCAGAGGCACCCUCCCACCAACUCAGGGACUCUGAUGCCUGCCCUUCCAGCUUCCCCUCACCCCGCUCUGACCUAGCUGCUGCCUGCAGGUUCCUGGUUCAUCUCAGGUUCUAGGCUCCAAGCAGGAAAUAGAUAAAAUUUCCCAAGUCCCCCUGCCAGUCACCUCACAAAACCAAAUUCCUGCCAGGCAAAAACCACAAAGUUGGGAAAGUUAAAGACAUAGACCUGACAGGGAAACUGAGGUCCAGAGUGUGCAGGGACCGGCCCACGGGCACCCAGCAACACAUGCAAAGACAUGACCAAAACCCAGGUUUCUGCCCAGGCUGUGGUUCCUCCUUUCCCCACACAGUAGUCCCAGCUCUCCAAUUAGGGCAGCAGUAAUAGAUUCGCCAUUUCUGAGCAGUUCCCUGUCCUCCCAGCCUAACUGGAAGCUCGGCUCAGCUCCCUGCUCCUCAGAGGUCUCCUGCCUCGCACCACUCCCCCAUCCUCUGCACCCCAGAUCCACACGUCGGGGGCAAGGAUUACAUACUUGCAUGCCUGCCUCCAUGCCAUCCACAGAAAGUGGAGCUGCCAUCCCAGCCAUCAGUCACCCCCACACCUGCUGUGAAACUGACUUAAGUAAUGUUCCAAAACUGUUGGGUGACUGGAUGUCUGGGAAGAGGGGGCACCCAUAGGACUGGGUGAACCAUGGAAGAUACCGGAGGCCAAGAGGCAAGGACGGCUCUGAAAUUCUGGCUUGGGAAUACUAGGAUGUCACUCACGCAAACAAAUCACAGAGAAGGGAACUAUGAGCUGUGGGGGCUCAAAGGCAACUGCUGAUCUUAUGGUUCCUCCAAGCCCUGCUGCUGGGAAGGACUCAGAUUGGAGUGUCACGGGCCGGGGUGAGUGCGUGAUCUGCCAGGUCAUGACUGGCCCUGCCACUCUCCAUGGAGCCUCAGUUUGCUGGGGCAGCUAAUAGGACUGACAGACUUCACAAUUGGAAAGAUCUACACAAUCAGCGGUGCCCUGUGCCUCCUUGUCUGCAGCUGCAGCUGUCCAGAGGCGGCCUGUGCUUGAAGUACACAGCCUUGAGCACAAGGCCUCAGCAGGCAAGCACACUCCGCCAGCCCUGCCAAGCAUACCACCCCGCUCCUCCUCCCAAAUCCUGAAAUCCAGCCGCUGGCCCUGGAGAUUACCGCCUCCUUAGAAGACCCAUGGGGUGGAGACCCAGGGUUUCCAGUUAUCUUUUCCUGCCAGGUUUCUGGCUGCAGGAGCAAAGCGAGAUAAGAAGGGAGGUAGAAGAGGUGGUAGAGGUUACACAGGAGCCAUUCUAGGAGGCCCGUGUGGACAGGUCCUGGAGUCUUUAAGUCUCAUCUAUCUCCAGCCAAAACUCAGGGGACACCCAGAAAAGAUCUGUGGGUCUCUGUGCUCUUCCCCUCAGCUUUGCCUGCUUAACACAGAGUCACAGGGGCCUGGAACCCCCAGCAAGUCCGGAAGAAAUUCCUGUCCCCUGAGGACACCAACUCCGCCACCACACCCUCCAAGCUCUGCUCUUUCUCUCUGGAGGACACGACCUGACACUUUGUACAUUCUUCAAAGAGAAUUUGCCCUCAGUCUCUAGGGAUCCAGGAAGGGAUUCUGGGGCAGAACAAGUCCCGCCUGGGUAUAGCCCCACAGCUUCCAUGUAAGCUCUGGGCCCCCAGAAACCUGCCCAGAGACAGGAAGAAAGAGAAUAGGCCUUCCUCCUGUAAUACAGGCCCAGAAUGCACACUGUUCUCUUUCCCCCAUGUGUCUGAGGGGUGUCUGCACGUGCACCACACUUUCCCCCAUGUGUCUGAGGGGUGUCUGCAUGUGCACCACACUUACACAUGCAUGUGAGUGUCUGGGUGGAAGAAAGAAGUGAUAGUUAAGCAGCCUGCCAUCUGUGCACAGACCUGCACACGUGUGGUGCUUUGAUGUGUGCACGUGUGUUACACAUCCACAUGUAAUGGAGGGAUUUUUAAUGUAUUUGCUCUUAGGUGAUGAUGUGCAUUUAUAGCACACAUUUGCAGACAUCAGGAAGCAUCUACACUGCUGGCACUGCCCACAAGCUUGUGUAAAUGUGCCAGGGGUACACACAUAGGUUUAUAUAUAUUAAAUAUUUGCAUGCA